rnacentral:rRNA from 1 species
UACGUAGGGUGCAAGCGUUAAUCGGAAUUACUGGGCGUAAAGCGUGCGCAGGCGGUUAUGCAAGACAGAUGUGAAAUCCCCGGGCUCAACCUGGGAACUGCAUUUGUGACUGCAUAGCUGGAGUGCGGCAGAGGGGGAUGGAAUUCCAGGUGUAGCGGUGAAAUGCGUAGAUAUCUGGAGGAACACCGGUGGCGAAGGCGGCAUCCUGGACCGAGAUUGACGCUGAGGCGCGAAAGCCAGGGGAGCAAACGGG